rnacentral:lncRNA from 1 species
AGAAGCCAACUCUGAGUCCUAAUACAUCACCAUUCCCUGAGGUGGGCAAUGAUUUGUCCUCACAGGAGUGAAUAGUAUAUAUCCCAGAUACAUAUUUGUCUUCCUCAGAAUUCUUCUGUUGGCAUUCCCACUCACGGGCCUCCAAAUGCCUUGUCCAUUGACAUGGUAUCUCACAAAAUGUGGCAGCUUUAGAAGGUACUUAUUUGGGGGUGAAGAAGGUGUGGCAAAUGGCUCUUGCUUUCAGCAUUCACUACCCUCUCCUGUCACUGAGCAGCAGAUGACUUGAUAGAUUACUGGAAUGGUCUGAUAAAGAGAGUUCCUUUACAAGCAAGUACCUUAAGCCAGCAGACAAUAUCUGGUGCCAUCUGGAACCAGAAUGCAUGAGCCUAAGAACAAGGGAAAUGAGAAUGGCUAGAUAAAUGUGUAGUGUUAUCCCUAUCUCGAGAUCUAUAUUCUAAGGAGGAAUGUUCUGCCAAAAAAACAGAGUCAUGGUUUAAUUAAAUUGGGAGCUGAGCCUACUUCCAGGCUAUUUUCAGGCUUCUUUUACCACUGAAUUAACAAAGAAGGUGGGGAGUGGUCACUACUGGGUGGGGAAUUGAUACAGUGGUCUUAUAAUUUCUGAAAAUACUAGGAUAAGUUCAUAAUCAAUUGAAAUAAAUGCUUAAGCAAACUGAAGCCAUCAAGAUAUCACAAUAGGAAGUAGCUAAUGCAAAAUCUAUCAUCAAGGACUUCUUCUUUGGAGAAGCAGAAGGUAAAGUCCCCAGAGUCAGUAGGUAAUUACACUAUUCCCUCUCUUCCAAGAGAAGUAUCUGCCAAGAUUUUCUCCCAUCCUGGUGCAUAUUCAUUUGGAAUCUGCAAGGCUUUCACAGCCAUCUUUGUAAUUUGUUCUUCAUAUUCAACAUAAUCUUUAUUCAUAGCCACAUCAGGGUUUGAUGAUUGGACCAUAAAGUAAACAUUAUGCCAAAAACAUAAAGGCUUUAGCCAAGACAAGCAAUUGCCAAAAACUGUUGUUUGGGGAAGUAGGCAUUUUUUUUUUCUUCUAUUGGCAUCAGUGUUCUGCUGCUCUUGCUGCAAGAUGCUUUAAGCCCCGUGAUUCUGUAGAAGCACUGCACCGACUUGACAUCAGCGGAAUGAUCAUCAAAUCUCUUAGCCUGUUGGGUAUUGGUGUGCCAGAAAAGGUGCGACUGAGACACAAUGGUAUCAAUGUCGUGGCUUGAGAGAGGUAACACAGCAUCAGUGAGACAAAAGGCAUUGUCUGAAAGCUGGGUUAUUGUCUAUCACUGGAGAUAGUUUGGCAAAGGAAUAAGCUGGCUCUCUUUUGCCUGAGUGUACACAAUGGCAUUCAGGGUAGCUGCAUUAGGAACCAAGGGCAGCUAGACAAGACCCCUGGCUGUUGUGGUUUCAAUAGUCACCUGAGUGCUACUGUCAGGUUUUAAGAUGGAGCUGCUUGCUCAGCUCUGCCAUCCUUGGCCAGAUCCUACACAUUUAAAUGGUCUUUGAUGAUUACAUCUUCACUGUCCAUAGCUUCUGACAAAGGCAGUAUUGCUUGUUGGUUGGGGCUUGAGCUAAGAGAAUAAAUCCUAACUCUGACAUCUACCAGCUGUAAGUCCCAAAGCCAGUUAUAUAAUACUUCCCAAGUUCUCUGAUUCUUUAUAAAAUAGUAACAGGCUACCUUAUUUGCUUUUAAGUGGGGGUAGAAUCCCAGCCCCUAAAAUCUCAUCUUGACACACAGAUGAGAAGAAAUACACUUCUAAUAAUUCCUGAAAGCACUAGACUUUAACUCUGGCAGAACCCCAUCCACAACCGACUUUUAAAAAUGUAAAGAGAUUUUAGAAUUCUUUAAAAUAGCAAUUGAUCGAUUCCUCUUAUCUGGAAAGAAAACUAAGCUUAUCUUCAUCUAACCCCAAAGUCUACAUUCCAGUGUAUUAUCAGUGUGUAGUCUAGGGACUCAGUUUUAGAACCAUGAAGACCUGGGCUUGAAUGUAAGUUUUGAGACUUAUUUUCCUCCAGUCUGACACUGGGACAGUUACAUCUGACAGUAAGACCAGUGUCGCUUCAUGGGUCAGGUGAGCGCUUGUGCGGUACCCAGAUGAGAUAUCGGGGACACCUCCCAAACAUUGGUUCUCCUCUCUUCUCUCUCUUUCCACUCUUCACUCAUGCACAGCUUUAGAACUGUUUCCUAGUUUUUGCAUAGAUUUUGCACAUGUUUUUCUUCAAACCAAUGACAGUAUUUUCUGCCCUUUAGAUGCUUCAUAGAAGAUUCAACCAUUAACUGAUUUCUAUAUUCUUUUCUCAAGAGUUCAGCUGCUUAUGCCCUAACUUUACCCUUCUCGUCCCCAUUUCAAUCCAUAGUCUUUUAAAUGUGCUGCAUUCUGUGCAGUAAAUGCCAUUCGAAAGCACUUAACAUUUACAAAGAGCGCUCACAUUUAUUAUCUGAGGUCUCGUCUCCACAGUGUUUUUGCCAUAACCCUGUGUAUUAGCCAGGGCUCUUUCAAUUUCAAGUGUCAGAAAUCCCACUCAAAAAAGAUUUAUUGGUUCACGUACAGAGAAGGAUGGGGAGGUAGGUGGUGUCAGGCACUGCAGGGUCUGAGGGCUCACUGAUUUCAUGAAUUUUUUUUUCUCCUCUUCACUUCUCAGCCCUGCCUCUUGCCGAUUUUUGGCCUCAUCCACUUCCUGCAGAUGUUUCAUUUUUGUGGUAGCAAGUCCGGCAGGCAACAGCUCCUACUUACAUUUCCAGCACGUGCUGUUCUAGAGGAAAGAGAGUGGCGUUUUUCAUCUGUCUGUAUGAAAUGAGCUUCAUCUGAGUCAUGUACCUACUCAUGGGACCAAUAAUUGGCCAGGGGGAUAGGGUGUGCUUGGCCAGGUCAGUGUCACACAUCUAUUCAAUCAGCCAGAAGCUGGGGUUCUAUGUCUGGCAGCUUACCAUGGGAGAAGCGUGUCUCAGGGGAAAAUAAUCAGGGAAGGGGAUGGCAGAGAGCAAAGCAAAGCAAAACGAGACCAAAACAAAGCCCGCAGGUGCCGCCCCAACAUUCUAGAUUGUCACAGAUAAUUCUAAUUUCAAAUACGUUAAAAACUGACAUAGCUUUCCUUUGAAUUUUCACUUGAGGUUUUAUUCUUUGCAGUCAAGAUGAUCCACUAAAUUUCAUGUGAUUUAAUUUAAUACCCGUGAAAGCCUUUUCAUAAAAAUAAAUGAAAACUCAGGAGAAAACACAUUUGUCAGACCACACAUCCUGAUUUGGAGCUCAGUCAACACGGUCCUGGUAAGGAAGGACAGCAGAGCCUGCAGCAGGGGGUGUCUGUCAUUGCUCCACCUGCCCACCUACGGGACUCUAUUUCUUGGCAGGGGAGCCAGCCUGCCCGAGCACUCAUUGAAUAUAUAUGUAAUGGUGUGACAUUUAUACGAUGCCAAGGAGACUUCGAAAUGACUAAAUUUAAAAUAGAUCUUAAUACCUAAAGCAAGAGAGCGAAAGCAGAAGGAAAUGAAAUACAUUCUGGGAGUUUAAAAGAUACAUAACAACCGAGCUAAAAUCAAAUAUGCCUGCAAAUUUUCCAAAGAGACGCUAAUUGUUUUACUCUGUCUUUUUCCUUCUGUUUCUUCCUUCCUCUCCACCCCAGACAUACUAGGCACAUUAGGGAACAAUAACAAUGAUGAUAUUAUUAACAGUAAUGAUUACCGUGUGUGGAGUGCUUACCAUGUGCCGAGCACUUUACCAAGAUCUUUAGAUACAUUAUCUAAUUUAUUAUUAUUAUUAUUAUUAUUAUUAUUGCAUUUUUAGGGCCGUACCAGUGGCAUAUGGAGGUUCCCAGGCUAGGGGUCUAAUCGGAGCUGUAGCUGCCGGACUACACCACAGCCACAGCCACGCCAGAUCUGAGCCCCAUCUGUGACCCACGCCACAGCUCACGGCAACAACGCCGGAUCCUUAAUCCACUGAUCGAGGUCAGGGAUAGAACCCGCAACCUCACGAUUCCUAGUCGGAUUCGUUUCCGCAGCGCCACGAUGGGAACUCCAGAUACACCAUCUAAUUUAAUCCUCAACAGACAAUUUUCCAAGACAUCUGGCAAUGAAUGGAUGAAAACAGGCUAUAAGGUGGUAGCCUUUACUUUUUUUUCCAGAGGAAGAGCCAGGAGAGGGAAGAGUAGAAAAUAAAUGUGAGCAAAGAGUAAUUAAUGAAGCAAAAUGAUUAGAAAUAUGGAGAGAAAUAGAGACAGAAGAAAUCAAUUCAGUUGCAAAAGACAGACCCAGAGCCAUCAACCAAAUCAUUUCCUCCUUCACUUGAGACAUAAAGGCCAGAGAGGCCAUCCUCUGUUAGCAUAAAGGCAGGAGACCAGUAAUCCAAGUUGGGGGGGGUUCAGCCACGGUCUAAGGAUUUAUUUCCGGUUUGGAAAGUUAGCACUUAACAAGACGUAAAUCAAAACCUGUAUAAUUAGGCAAUUUUCAGGGACUUACGGUAAAUUUAACUGCAAGGCAAGGUUAUAGUAUGAGCUGAGUCUAAGUAUUACUCUGAGAUGUAAUUAAUUCCCUACAGGUACAACCAGAAUUAUCGUAACAGCAAAGAGAUAAAUUGGAAAGUCAAUUUGCUUUUUUCCAUUCCUCUUAUACCCCUCCUCCCUGCGAGUUACAAUUGUUUUCCCCCGAAGUGGAUUCUGUACUAAAUCAUCUUAAUGAUGGGCCCUUUCUGACUUGGUUGUUUCUCUGCCUGUGGCAUCCUUUUCUGCUUUCCUAACUCAUCGAGUCUCACUCUGUUGUUGAAGCAUUUCCCUGGGGAGCUUUUAGGCUUCUGCAUCCUAAUUUCAUUUCAGUAUCUUCACUGUAUCCUUUGCAUGACAUCAAUAGUCUGUUAGUUUUGCACUUUGCUUUAUGGUACCAAAUCGAUUAACACAUGGUUUUAAAAACAUAAAUAUGCAUCCAUGUAACAAAGUGCAAAGAACAAAGAAGCAGUUUGUAUUUGCCUACCAGCUACAAAACUAGGCGGUAUAAUGAGCACUGACGCUAUAAAGAUGAAUUGGACUUGGUUGCUGCCUGCCCACACGAUAUUUGUGAAUUUCCCAGAACAGGUGAGUCCCUCAGGUAUAGAUUCAAAUUCUGAUUCUCUUUCUUCCUUUACUUUCUCACAGAGUCUACUAUCACAUGGAGAGACAAGCAUAAGUUAAUAUUUAUAAAAGGAGGGGAAGGGAACUUUAGAGAGAUGGAACUCCAUACAUGAUGGAACAGAUGCAUGAAAAAGCACAGUUGGAAAAGAAGAGAAAAAACAGGUCCGCUCUGCAGUAUUCUCCAGAACCUUGUGAACAACUACGUGUAGAUUUUGAGAAAUCUCUCUUACUAAAGUUUAUUUGGGGGGGGGAUGCGGCACCUGGAUUCAGUCAUUUUGUUUUGAGAGAUCACCAAACAAGGAUCCAAGCUAUGAAAUUUUGCAGCAGAGGUCAUUUUUUCCCCCAAAAAUAUAGCCUGGAUUUCAUUCCUCAAUGUUCCUGGUGGCAAACUUGGUAGCAUUUGGGAAACAUGCUCUGGCAUGUGGUACCUAUUACCCACUAGUCUUGCGAUCCUAGUUUAACAAAGUCUCCCUUCCUCAGUUGCCUCAUUCUCACAAAGUUGUUUGGAUUAAAUAAAAAUAACAAUAUAAAGUCCCUUGGCACAGAGUGAGUGCUCACUAAGUGGUAGUCAUUUAAUUAUUGUCAUUAUCAUGAUCACUAAAUUCCUUUCUGUACUCUGCUUGUGAUGUGUAAUUAUAUAAUCAGUGGAGAACAGUAGUAUAUUUCAUUUAAAUACUUAUGUGUAGAGUUUCCCUAUGGCUCAGCAGGUUAGGGAUGCCAUGUUGUCUCUAUGAGGAUGCAGGUUCAAUCCCUGGCCUCUGUAGGUUAAGGAUCUGGCAUUGUUGCAAACUUUGGUGUAGGUCACAGAUGUG